rnacentral:rRNA from 1 species
CGGCGGACGGGUGAGUAACGCGUGGGUAACCUACCCUGUACAGGGGGAUAACAGUCAGAAAUGACUGCUAAUACCGCAUAGGACCACAGCACCGCAUGGUGCAGGGGUAAAAACUCCGGUGGUACAGGAUGGACCCGCGUCUGAUUAGCUGGUUGGUGAGGUAACAGCUCACCAAGGCGACGAUCGGUAGCCGGACUGAGAGGUUGAACGGCCACAUUGGGACUGAGACACGGCCCAGACUCCUACGGGAGGCAGCAUG